rnacentral:lncRNA from 1 species
UAAUAAUAAUAUUCAGACUAUUAAUUUGUCGCGGUUAUCGUUAGACUAAACCCUAGUGGUAUCGAUACUAGGUUUUAUCGAAGGAAUAUCGUUUUGAGAGUAUCGAAGCGUUGUCCGAGUGCUGAGUCACCACCUUUCAAGUGAGUGCAUAGUUACUUUCAGCUUACACAUAGAUAUGAAGUAUUUUAUAUAAAUUACAUGCUAUGUGUGCAUAUUAUCUGAAUACUUGCUAUCUAUGCUGGAUGAACAUUGUUAUACAUGUUUUCAAUGAUUUAAACUGUAUAUGUAUUUUAUAUCUACGAAAAUGUUGGGGUAAAACAUGGGUAGAUGCAAUAGGUGAUGUGUGAUAAAAUGAUGAGAGGCCUCGAUGUUGAUGUUGUUGAUUCUGUCAUCUAGCGGAGUAUGGAUGACGACCACGGACUCUUCUAGACAGUCCAGUGGAACACUAGCAGGCUCGCAACCUGUAGGUGUUUGUGAACGAUAUGUUCACCGGUGUACUCCAUCCCCCACAUGGUUGCCUUUAGGACAUUUAUUGCUGAGGAAUCCCCUUAGCAGUAGUGUCCGUCCCGAUGAUGAUCCUUAGGCUAGGUCCCUUAUGAUAGGUGUUUAGGGACGUAAAGUGAGGAUAACGGGAACGGGUAAUCGGGUUAUUGUUGAUCGAUGAAAUUAAUAAACUUAUUUAUUGUGGGUUGAAAACCCUAUGUGCUCACCAGGCUCCCAAGCCUGACCCACUCAGUUUUAUGUAUUACAGGUAGUGGCGCAUGAGCAUAGGUGUGAUGUUUUGGACGAGGGAUUACGGAUAUAGGCCUGUAGAUAUGAAAUAAUGUAGUAAGGCUUAUAUUGUACUGUUUAUGCUUUUGAUCUGUACGAACAUGACAUCCCGAGUCUUUUAAUGAAAUACAUUUCUAUGGAAAUGCUUUUGAUAAAUCUUUAUCAAUUUUUUGUUUUGGGACAAAUUCCGCAACACUUUCAUUUAAAAUGUAACUCUGAUUUUUAAACAAAGCAUAAACAAACCGGUCUUUUCUGGCCGUGAUUUUGGGGAUGUCACAGUUGGUAUCAGAGCAUUAGUUUAAGCGAACUAGGAAUUUGUAGGAUUUCUAGACUUAAACUUAGAAUGCUAAGCGAUGAUUGUGAGGUGUGAGCACUAGCUUAUUUUAGGAAUUGUGCCUAAAAUGCUUUUAUGUGCUAAAUGCUUUGUGCAUAAUAUGCUGUUAAUUGUUCGGAUCUAUGGUCUGUUGCCGACCGGAUCUGGAAACCUUAUGUGUUUAGGAUUCUAAACGUACGACUACGAUAUUAGAACUAGCAUGUAAACGUUUCGGAGUGAUAAGGACGAUUUAAACGUCUAUCCUAAAUAAAGAUCUAAAUUCACCUUAUUCGGUGUAUAGAUCAAGAUGGCAAGGACCCGUAGCGGAAACGUGAACGCAAAUGGAGGUAGGAACCAACCCCCAGUGGUUCAGCAAAUACCUGUUGUUGAAGAAGUUGCACCUGAGCCAGUCACCAUGGCUGGAGUUCAAGCCAUGAUUCAGGCUAUGCUAGCUGAACAAAGGGAAGAAAUGAGACGGAUGCUCCACGAAAAUAGGGACGAACCUACCAUACAUGUUGAACCGACGGAGCCAGUUCCCGAGCCAUCUGAGGAAGGGAACUACAGCCGCCAAAUGAGUCAAGUAGGGACUCAAGGUGAGCAAAAGGAUGGCCCAGAAGGGAGAAACAACAAGGAUGGGUGGAUGUAUAAAAAUUUCUUGGGUGCGAAACCACCAAGUCUCUCUGGAUGCCCAAAGCCUGUUGAGAUUAUGGACUGGAUCUCCGAGAUGGAGAUGGUGUUUGAGAGCUGCGACUGUAGCGAGAAGUAGAAGACUGUCUUCGCUGUGAGAUAAUUGAAAACUGGAGUCUUGAGCUGGGGGAAGCUAUUGGCAGAUACAAUGCCGCGAGGAGAAGCUCUGAAAAUGUCAUGGGAUGAGUUCUUGGAACAACUAAAGGCACAGUACUGUUCAGAGAUAGAUCUGAUUGAUCAGAACAAUGAGUUCCAAAAUUUGAAGAAGGGGAGAAUGAGCAUCGAUGACUAUGCUGUUGCAUUUACGGAAAAGAUGAAGCUGUUUCCAUACCUAGUGCCAACCAAACUGUCCAAAAUUGAGAAGUUCGCAAACGGACUGCCGGCUGACUUUGGCCCAACAGUCUAGAUGGCAACCACUCUGAAAUCAGCUGUUCAAGCAGCUAAGAAUGUGGAGACCCAACAAAAGGAGAGAGGUCUGGAAAGGGCUGAGGUUGGUGAGAAACGGAAGUUCGAUGGAUCCUCGAAGUCCAACAAGAAGAGUAGAUUCUCGAAGUCUGGUUCGAGAGGAGGAGGAUCAGAAGCGAAGUGGUGUGACAAGUGCAAGAAGAAGCACUCUGGGAAGUGUGACGGAGGGGUCACUUGUUUCAAAUGCGGAAAGCCUGGGCACUAUGUCAAUGAAUGCACCCUCAACCAGAAGGCCUGUUAUGGAUGUAAUGAAGAAGAGCACAUUUUGAAGGACUGUCCGAAGAAGAAGGAGGCAGGAAGACCCACCAUACAACCGAAGCUGAAGGCGAGAGCCUUCCAGAUGACGCUCGAGGCUGUGAAGGAGGCAGCAGACGUCACUUCAGGUACCUUUCUUGUAAAUGGUUUGCCUGCAAAUAUACUAUUUGAUUCCGGAGCCAACUAAUCCUUUGUGUCGCAUAAAUUUGGUGGGAAAUUAGCAUUGCCUGUAGAAAAACUUGAUAAUGCCCUGAUUGUAGAAGUUGCCAGUGGCAAAUUCAUACUUGUUAGUAAUCGUAUUAGGAACAUUGUCAUUGAACUAAACGGAAACGAAUUCCACGAAGAGCUAUUACCCAUAGAGUUAAACGGUUUCGACAUCGUUUUGGGUAUGGAUUGGCUUAGCGCCAACGAUGCUGAGAUUCAAUACCGAAAGAAAAUAGUAAGGGUAAACCCACUCGGAAAAGAAUCAUUUAUGGUGUACGGGGACAAACACAAAAUGAAUUCUGGAAUCAUCUCCCUAAUGAAAGCCAGGAAAUGUUUGUCCAAAGGAUGUGCAUCGUACUUGGCAUUCGUAAUCGAUGCUAAGAAGGAGAAGAAAGAGGUGCAGAAUAUACCGGUGGUGUGUGAUUAUCCGGAAGUCUUUCCCGAAGAUCUUCCCGGAUUACCACCUGAUAAGCAAGUGGAGUUUCAUUUAGACUUGUUACCAGGAACAACACCGAUAGCAAAAGCACCUUACCGAUUAGCACCGGCGGAGAUGAAGGAGCUCAUGACGCAACUUCAGGAGCUGUUGGAAAACGGUUUCAUUCGACCUAGUUCAUCACCCUGGGGAGCUCCGGUGUUAUUCGUGAAGAAGAAGGACGGAAGUAUGAGAAUGUGUAUAGACUAUCGAGAGCUGAAUAAAGCAACAGUGAAAAACAAGUAUCCAUUGCCGAGGAUUUAUGACCUAUUCGAUCAGCUGCAAGGCUCGAGCUACUUCUCAAAGAUUGAUCUUAGGUCAGGAUAUCCUCAGCUGAAAGUGAGAGAGCAGGAUAUUAAGAAGACUGCAUUCAGAACAAGAUAUGGACACUAUGAGUUCUUGGUUAUGUCAUUUGGGCUUACCAAUGCUCCUGCAGCAUUCAUGGAUUUGAUGAACAGGGUUUGUAAACCUUUCCUCGAUAAAUCCGUGAUAGUGUUCAUCGACGACAUUCUCAUCUACUCGAAAAGCCAAGAGGAGCAUGGCAAGCAUCUACGGGAAGUAUUAGAAGUGUUGAAGAAGGAGAAGCUUUUUGCAAAGUUCUCCAAAUGCGACUUUUGGAUACGGGAAGUCCAAUUCUUGGGUCAUGUUGUUAACCAGGAGGGAAUAAUGGUUGACCCCGCAAAGAUCGAGGCUGUAAUGAAGUGGGAACGUCCAAAGAGUCCCACGGAGAUUCGAAGCUUUCUAGGAUUAGCCGGAUAUUAUCGACGAUUUAUCCAAGGCUUUUCUUCGAUAGCUGCUCCAUUAACAGCUUUGACUCAUAAAGGAGCUACGUAUACGUGGAGUGAGAAACACGAUGAGGCAUUCGAGAAGCUAAAGAAGAAGUUAUGUGAAGCACCGAUACUUUCUCUACCCGAUGGAGUUGAAGAUUUCGCGGUUUAUAGUGACGCUUCUGGAGUCGGGUUGGGUUGUGUUCUGACCCAAAGAGAAAAGGUGAUAGCAUACGCAUCUCGACAAUUGAAAGAGCACGAAAAGAACUACCCCACUCAUGAUCUGGAGUUGGCAGCGGUAGUUUUUGCCUUAAAGAUAUGGAGGCAUUACCUCUACGGCACGAAGUGCAAGCUCUUCACUGAUCAUAAGAGUCUCCAGUAUCUCUUUAAUCAGAAGGAGUUGAACAUGAGGCAACGACGCUGGCUUGAACUACUCAAGGACUACGACUGUGAGAUACUUUACCACCCAGGUAAAGAAAAUAUUGUUGCUGAUGCUCUUAGUCGGAAAGUCAAUCUUUAAAGGAAAAGGCCAAGAGCAUUAAGAAUUGAAGUCGUCUCGAUGAUUGUAGAAAGUAUCAGGAAAGCUCAAGAAGAAGCUUCAGAGAAGAAUGACUGAAAGGAAGAAAGUUGGGAAGAACGUUAGUGUUCGGUACAAACAGUCGAGGAAUGAAGGUAUUCCAAGAUCGAAUUUGGGUACCUAAGACGGGAGGAAUAAGAGAUCUUCUGAUGGAAGAAGCACACAAGACCAUGUACUCGAUUCAUCCCGGUAGCACUAAAAUGUAUAGGGACCUAAAACCCUACUACUGGUGGCCGACGAUGAAGCUCGAUGUUGCGAAGUAUGUGGCUGAGUGUGUGACAUGUGCGAGAGUUAAGGCACAACAUCAGAAACCGUAUGGGAGUUUAGAACCUUUACCUGUACCACUGGGUAAAUGGGAAGACAUCACCAUGGAUUUUGUGACUAAACUGCCCAGGACGAAGAACGGUCACGACAUGAUUUGGGUAGUCGUGGAUCGUUUCACCAAGAGUGCACACUUCAUAGCAGCCAACGAGAAGUGGUCUAUGGAUAAGCUCGCAAAUGCUUACGUGAAGGAAAUUGUAAGACUUCACGGUGUCCCUCUUACGAUUGUAUCAGAUCGUGAUAGUCGUUUCACGUCAAGGUUUUGGAGGAGUCUACAAGAGGAGUUAGGUACAAAGUUGUGUUUGAGUACUGCUUAUCAUCCGCAAACUGAUGGUCAGAGCGAAAGAACGAUUCAGACGCUGGAAGAUAUGCUGAGAGCAUGUACCCUCGAAUUCCAAGGGAAUUGGGACGAGCACUUACCUCUGGUAGAAUUCUCCUACAACAAUAGUUUUCACUCGAGCAUCAAGAUGGCACCUUACCAAGCCUUGUAUGGACAAAAGUGUCGUACGCCGUCUUGUUGGCUUGAAGCCGGAGAGAAGCAGUUUAUGGGCCCCGAGAUAGUCCAUGAGACUGCUGAGAAGUUGAAGGUGAUUAGGGAAAGGAUGUUAGCAGCCCAGGAUCGUCAGAAGAGCUAUGCUGACAAGAAAAGACGACCGAUAACUUUCGAAGUUGGGGAUUCCGUUUUGCUUAAAGUCUCACCGUGGAAGGGACUUAUACGAUUUGGGAAACGAGGAAAGUUGAGUCCAAGGUUUAUUGGACCGUUCAAAGUUCUUCAGAAGAUUGGGAACCAAGCUUACAAGCUGGAAUUGCCCGAAGAACUCAAUGGUAUUCAUAACACCUUCCAUGUGUGUUAUUUGAGGAAAUUCACGGGAGAUGUUCCCGACAUAAUUCCAAUCUCAGAGUUAAGGAUGGAUGAGAAUAAAAGGCUGAUCGAAGAGCCUGAGGCAAUUGUUGACCGUAAGACUAAGAAGUUACGACGCAAGAUGGUCGACUUAGUGCUAGUCCGAUGGAAACAUUCGAAUGGGCCGAAUCUCACUUGGGAAACAGAGGAUGACAUGAUGAGUCGCUAUCCACAUCUGUUUGCUGAUGCAUGAUUCCGGGACGGAAUCAUCCUAAGGGGGAGAGAAUUGUAACGCCUGAGUUUCAGGGCUAAGUAUUUUUGUCAGUGUAAUAGUCUAGGUCAACUAUUGUAACUCUUUUUGAAGUAAUAAAGAUGAAAUAUUUGAGUAUUAUGAGAAUUAUGUGUGUUUAUGUGUUUAUUAUUUAAUUAUAAAUGUAUAAUUAAUAAAGAAUAAAAAUAAGUGUCAAAAUUAAAGUGUGAGAUAAGCCCGAUAUCUUUAUAUAAAGUUGUAGUGGUCAAAACAAGGAUUCCGGGGAUAUAAGGAACGCCGAAAUCCGAGUUAUAACGAAGAAGUUAUGACCCGUCGAAGUUUCGCGACAGAACCGGCACGAUACCGGGAAGCUUAAAUAGUGAAUUUACGAUAGAGCGAGAUUUAGCCUUAGCGAUCUAAACGAAAGUCGUAGAAUAUGUUAAACUAAGAACAUCGACAAAAAAGAACGCCCAAAUCUAACUUCGUAUGAAGAAAUGAUUUUUCGAAGUUUCGGAAUAGCAGUGUACAACCCGAAAUUCGAAUAUCAGAUCGAGCGAUUUCUAGCCGACACGACCUAAACGAGAAUCGAAGAUCUCGUUAAAAGUAGCGUAACGAGAAAAAUAUGGGUGAAAACGGAUGUCGGAUGAAGAAGUUAUGAGGAUUUAACGGACCAAUCCUGUCCCGGUCUAUUAAUAAUAUAAAAUUUAAAAUAUAGUCAAAAUUAGCCGACGGAGUCUAAACGAAAGUUGUUGAGUACGUUCCUGUCUUCGCGUGGAUAUAAAGAACGUCGAAAACGGAGCUCGUAUGCGAAAGUUACGAAUUUUUAAAGUUGAAGCAUGAAAUUGCGAAGUCUGUUGCAAAUCCGAUGACGUGGCUUAAUCCUGACCGUCGCUUGCUGAUCACGGCUCGCUUCGGAUGGCCGACACGUCGUCCUCGCAUAUGCCCCGCAUCCGAGGUCAGUAUGCCCCGCGUACCAUCGCCUUACCUCUUCCGAUGUUGCGAGCCAGCUGGUGCGAAGCUGGCGCCCUUAUCCAAACUUACGCCCAGCGUAAGGCUUCGGUACGCCCAGCAUAAGGUCCGAAGUCUGGGCUAUAAAUAGAAGGCCGAGGCUGCCCUAAUUCUUCACUCCAAAAUCCCUUCUUUCUCUUACUAAUUUCUCUCUCUACAACCCCAAACCACCCCUAAACCCUAGAAAAACCCCCUAGCACCCUAAAGAAGCCCCGAGGCUCCCGGAGUCCCGAGAAAAAGGAGUCUUUCGGUUUCGAAACGCUACUCCAAUUAAGUUCCGGUUUCCGAUAAAAUUCGCUGUAAGUGUGCUACGCUUACGCAAUUUUUAAUAUAGCUUUCAAAUAAUUAUAGGAAUGUUAUUAGGUCCUUAAAAUAAUUAUUUGGGCUAUUAUUAUGAGUUAUAUUGAGUGUUAUUAAUGCUUAUUUAUAGUCAGACUAAUUAAUUUGUCGCGGUUAUCGUUAGACUAAACCCUAGUGGUAUUGGUACUAGGUUUUAUCGAAGGAAAAUCGUUUUGAGAGUAUCGAAGCGCUGUCCGAGUGUUGAGUCACCACCUUUCAGGUGAGUGCAUAGUUACUUUCAGCUUACACAUAGAUAUGAAGUAUUUUAUAUAAAUUACAUGCUAUGUGUGCAUAUUAUCUGAAUACUUGCUAUCUAUGCUGGAUGAACAUUGUUAUACAUGUUUUCAAUGAUUUAAACUGUAUAUGUAUUUUAUAUCUACGAAAAUGUUGGGGUAAAACAUGGGUAGAUGUAAUAGGUGAUGUGUGAUAAAAUGAUGAGAGGCCUCGAUGUUGAUGUUGUUGUUUCUGUCAUCUAGCGGAGUAUGGAUGACGACCACAGACUCUUCUAGACAGUCCAGUGGAACACUAGCAGGCUCGCAACCUGUAGGUGUUUGUGAACGAUGUGUUCACCGGUGUACUCCAUCCACUACAUUGUUGCCUUUAGGACAUUUAUUGCUGAAGAAUCCCCUUAGCAAUAGUGUCUGUCCCGAUGAUGAUCCUUAGGCUAGG